GUAAAUCUAUCAGCGGAUCCCUAUGUGCCGAUUCGUGUCCACGCGGAGUGAGGUGGGGUGAAACGUAGCGAAUUUGCGGGGCGGAAGGAGGAGCUGAGGCUGCCGGUUCCCCCACGUGUUGAGAGGCGCUGGGCGCGGAGCGGGUGGCUGAUUGCAGACCAAUAGAAUAUGGCUGGGCAAAUAUCAGAAUCUGAUCAGAUCAAACAGUUCAAGGAGUUUCUUGGGACAUACAAUAAACUUACAGAAACCUGUUUCCUGGAUUGUGUGAAAGAUUUCACUAGCAGGGAGGUUAAAUCAGAAGAGAUGACGUGCUCAGAACACUGCCUACAGAAAUAUUUAAAAAUGACGCAGAGGAUAUCCAUGAGAUUUCAGGAGUAUCAUAUUCAGCAGAAUGAAGCUCUAGCUGCCAAAGCAGGACUUCUUGGGCAACCUCGUUAAACAAAAGAGAAUUCUAUUCCAACCUUGCUUUAAAGCAGUGCCAACGUUUGCUGGAUUACAAGUGGAGGUGUUCUGUUGUGGGUGUGUCCACCAGCUCACAGCAGAGUUUCAGAGACCGUUUGGCACGUGGAAACCAUUGGGGAAACAAUUAUGGACUCUACCAAGAGUUGGACUGUCGUAUGUAAGAUACAGAAGGUAACUGUCCUGCUCUACUCUGCACUGGUGGGGCCUCAGUUGGAGUACUGUGUCCAAUUCUGGGUAUCACACUUCAGGGAAGAUGUGGACAAAUUGGAGAGAGUCCAAAGGAGAGUAACGAAAAUAAUACAAGGUUUAGAAAACCUGACUUCUGACGAAAGGUUAAAAAAACUGGGCAUGUUUAGUCUUUGAGAAAAGAAGACUGAGCAGGGACCUGAUAAGUCUUCAAAUAUGUAAAGGGCUGUUAGCAAGAGGAUGGUGAUGGAUUGUUCUCCGUGUCUACUGAAGGGUAGGACAAGAAAUAUUUGUCUUAAUCUGCAGCAAGGGAGAUUUAGGUCAGAUAUUAAAAAACUUUCUAACUAUUAGGGUAGUUAAGUCCUGGAAUAGGCUUCCAAGAGAGGUGGUUGAAUUCCC